CAGCAUCCAUUCUCUCAUUGCUUGUGUAAAAAAAAAAGGUAGAAUAUUAGAUUUGAGGACGAAAUGAUUGGGUGGGCUAAGGCAAGUUUUGGGUGGGCUUGAGUCCACCCAAAAAUGGUCUAGUUGCGGCACUGUUGGGGACAACGACACCACCACCGCUGCACUAGAGGGGACUGCUGCCGGUGAAAGCCCGCCGACAGCUCAGAGGCCGCUGAUGAAGGUAAUGACACUGACAGCAAGACCCGCAAAGGACUGCGUGAAAACAGCCUCUCCUCACUCCUCUUUGUGGAUCUUAAUGGACCCCCUUUGGAGAGAUUCGACCCAGCACCCUUCAUCACAUCCUGGAUUAAUUCAGGUCAUCGCCUGCCCACAUCAUGGGCUUCUGGACCAACAGCAAAGGAAGCUGAUCCCAGGCCUGUGUGGUCGCUUCUGUUUUAAGUUGGAGGCGAUGAAGCGGUCUUGUGCGGUGGCGUUGGUGGAGGCGGUGGGGUGGGCGAACACGGCGUUGAUGUUGGCCAGCAGGGUGCUCAUCACAGCCGGAAGGCCUGACAGCAUGUACUUAGAGGAGAGGCAGGAGAACUGACUGAAGGAGAGAGACGCAGAGAGAGACACAAUGAAUUACUAUGGUGCAGCGAGACAGACACAUUGGAAGGCGUUUGUUUCCGUUGCCUUUUGUGUGUAUUGAAUUGCUUUGAAUGAAUCUCAAUAUCUAUAUAUUGUGUUAGUUUGUUCUCAGUAUUUAAGGAUUUUUACCACCCCAUGCUACCUUAACACCCUGCAACAAAUCCAAACGACACACAUCACCAUGGAAUAACCCCAUCCUAUCUAUAACGAACUCUUAGGUCAAUGCUUGGUAGAGGUUAGGAUUGGGUCAGGGUUCAUAGGUCAUGGCUUUGUUUGGGGUUGAGUUUGGGUUAAGUUAGGUUUGGGUUGGGGUUAUUAGUUCAUGGCUUGGUAGAGGUUAGGGUUGGGUGAGUGUUCUUACAUCAUGGCCUGGUAGAGGUUAGGGUUAGGUUAGGGUUAGGGUUGGGUUAGGGUUCUUACGUCAUGGCCUGGUAGAUAGACUCGAUGCCGUAGCGCAUGGCGAACUCAUCCACGAUGUCCUGCUGCAGCUCGUCGAAGUACACCUUCCAGGCAUCGUCCCCGCGGGCGGCCGGGACCUUCACCACGCCGCCGCCCUCCACGUACGUUGAGUACUGGAAAAUGCUCUGACGGGGAAAUCACUCUCUGGGUCAUGAGCAUGUCAUGGAAGACCAAUUCUUGGAUGAAAAAAACUAUAUUGAUAAAGGUUACAUGUGUGUCUAGGGGGUGUAUGUGUGGUAAAGGUUACAUGGGGCAGGGACAGGUGUGCUGUGUCUGUGUACGUCAUGUAAACAGGUGCACUCACUGUACACACGUUGUGGAGACUGUGCUGUAUGUACCUCAUGUAAACAAGUGUAAUGUAAAUGGGUUGUUUAGACUGUGCUGUGUGUACCUCAUGUAAACAGGUGUACUGUACAUAGGUUGUAUAGACUGUGCUGUGUGUACCUCAUGUAAACAGGUGUACUGUACAACUGUUGUGUAGACUGUGCUGUAUGUACCUCAUGUAAACAGGUGUACUGUUCGUGGUACGGAGCCACUGUCUUCUCCCCAUCGACCUCCAUGCUGAUCUGCAGACGGAUCGCCCCAGACACGGCUGACCGCUACAGACAAGAAGAUGGGGUGACUCAAUGGGAGAUUCCACUGCAUUGCUUGACUUCAAGAAGGAAAGGAAUAGAAAUGUGUGCUGGUGGGGCAAUGACUUGCCUUCUGGGACCAAUUUGCUUUGUUAUGUUUUGCUUUCAUUAAAAAUCCUUAUAAUCCUUA